rnacentral:rRNA from 1 species
CACGUAGGAGGCGAGCGUUGUCCGGAAUCAUUGGGCGUAAAGAGCGCGCAGGCGGCUUGGCAAGUCGGGUGUGAAAUCCCGGGGCUCAACCCCGGGACUGCAUUCGAUACUGUCAGGCUAGAGGUAGGUAGGGGAGAUCGGAAUUCCUGGUGUAGCGGUGAAAUGCGUAGAGAUCGGGAAGAACACCGGUGGCGAAAGCGCUCUACUGGACCGUAACUGACACUCAGGGACGAAAGCUAGGGGAGCGAACAGG